rnacentral:lncRNA from 1 species
UGUGCGAGUGUGUGUGUGUGUGUGUGUGCGAGUGUGUGUGUGUGUGUGUGUGUGUGUGCGUGUGUUCGUGUUUUCACUUUAGCGAGCUCUGUCUUCUCUUUUCCCUCUGUAGCACUCAGAUGAAAACACGCGAUCAGAAUGCUGUUGUAACGCUACAGCAGGUCUUUCCUUCACAUAAACUGAUCUCAAUGGACUGGAAAGACAGUGAAGGUGUUUAUUCCUCAAGGAGGAGCUGAGGAGUUUGUCUGAAGAGCUGGCUCAGUGUCAGGAAGUGAGGAGGAGGGCAGGCGUGCCCUACAGGAAGCCAGGCA